rnacentral:lncRNA from 1 species
CUUUAAGACCCGUUCACGCGUCUGAAGUCUCCCGAAAGGCUGAAGUACCCCUCCCUCCCUCGUCCAGCUUCCCAGCCACUUCCUCCCAGGACCCAGCACUGGUCCGCCCCGGGUGCACUUGCAGGAGUCCGGUGACACGUCUGCCCCUGACAGGCCCAGGCUUGAAGCUUCGUCCCAGCCCAGGACGCCGGCCAUGGCGUUAGCACCCAAUAUGCACUCUGGCGCCUGGGGUUUCGUUGUACGGAAACUCCAGCUCCCUCCGUCUUAGCUCCAAGGAUCUGCAUGGUCGUUUGCUCCACACGGUGUCCAGAGCGUGGCUGUGGGUCCCUCGGCCUGUUCUGUGUCGCGGAGACUCGGGUGUUUCCAGCCUUGACCCAGAACGCUGCCCUCAUAGGUGUCUCCUGGGUAAUUGUUGGAUCAGUAUGCUAAUAGUUUACAUGUCGGUGGAACCCAACCAUCACCUCUGUCAUCCUGCGCUUCUAGAACAAGCAGUGUCCAGAGACAGCCUCAUGUGGAGAGAGGCCGGAAUGACCCUGGGACAGGACUUUACAUGGUCCAGGUCAAGUUUCACUUGUUCCCAGGGAGCUGAGUCUGACGGGUAAUCAUCUCAGCCUCAGUUUCCCCUCCUGACCACUGUGGUAGCUUCCAAACUUUAUAAAAAGCAAAGAACUAUACAAUAGCACACACUAACCUCUGCGUUCUCCUUUCAUGGAAGUUGGCUUUGAGGCUUCUGUUAUUGGUCAUUGCACAGCAUGAAAUCAAGCUGCUCACAAAAAUGUUUUAUAGAGGUGAAGUAUUCCAAGCAUAAAGGAAAAGUGUCUCCUAUUACCUGACAGGUGAAAUGAAGCUUCUGGAUUAGAAGAAAUUUGUGCCUUUCAUCAUUUUUAGGAGCUGUUAUUUUUAGCAAAGCCUUUGUCUUAAAAAAGAAAAAUAUUGGGCGGGCUGGGUGGCGUAGCAGUUAAGUGUGGGUGCUCGGCUUCGGUAGCCUGGGGUUCGGCAGUUCAGAUCCUGGGUGCAGAUCUACGCACUGCUUGUCAAGCCAUGCUGUGGCAGGUGUCCCACAUAUAAAAUAGAGGAAGGUGGGCAUAGAUAUGAGCUUAGGGUCAAUCUUCCUCAGCAAAAAAACAGAGGAGGAUGGCAGCUGAUGUUAGCUCGGGGCUAAUCUUCCUCAAAAAGAAAGAGUGAAAGAGAGAAAGAGAAAGAAAGAAAGGAAAGAAAAAGAAAGAAAGAAAAAUACCAUGAU